rnacentral:rRNA from 1 species
UAGAGAGAGACAUGCGCGCAUAUCAAUAAGCGGAGGAAAAGAAACUAACUAGGAUUCCCUUAGUAACGGCGAGUGAAGCGGGAAGAGCUCAAAUUUGAAAUCUUCAAGGUUCUACCUUGACGAAUUGUAGUUUAAAGAAGUGUUUUCUGUUGGAAUUUUAGUAAAAGUUCUUUGGAAAUAGGACAUCAAUAGAGGGUGAGAAUCCCGUAUUUGACCAUUAUCUUCCAGCUGUGUGAUACACUUUCAAAGAGUCGGAUUGUUUGGGAAUGCAGUCCAAAAUGGGUGGUAAAUUUCAUCUAAAGCUAAAUACUUGGCGAGAGACCGAUAGCGAACAAGUACCGUGAGGGAAAGAUGAAAAGAACUUUGAAAAGAGAGUUAAACAGUACGUGAAAUUGUCAGAAGGGAAGCGUUUGACACCAGUGUUGUUUUCUCGAAAAUCAAUUAAAAAUGCUGGAUUUUGUGUUGUAUUGACUUUAUCAGCUUUCUGCACUUUUUCUUGUCCUUUUUUAAUGCACUUUUCGUUUAACAAGUCAACAUCAAUUUCUUUUGUUGUAAAAGGGUCAUUGGAAGGUGGCUUUCUUUUCGGAGAAAGUGUUUAUAGCCUUUGACUUCUGCAAUCGGAGAGAUUGAGGUCUGCAGCGUAGAUCCUUCGGGGUUAGAUACAUUUGUGCUAAGUUAUAGCCUUUCAUAGACAACUUGUUGACUAUGAUCAGUCAUGUAGCUUACUCGCUUAUGUUAUUUUACCUACGCUUAGGAUGUUGACAGCAGUAUAGACUGU